rnacentral:rRNA from 1 species
UACGUAGGGAGCGAGCGUUGUCCGGAUUUAUUGGGCGUAAAGCGCGCGGUAGGCGGUUUGGUAAGCCGGUGUGAAACCCUCGAGCUCAACUCGGGCGGCCACUCGGAACUGCCAUGACUUGAGUCUGGUAGGGAACACGGAAUACCUGGUGUAGCGGUGAAAUGCUUAGAUAUCAGGUGGAACACCAGUGGCGAAGGCGGUGUCUGGCCAGUACUGACGCUAAUGCGCGAAGCGUGGGAGC